rnacentral:lncRNA from 1 species
GCAAGUCUGUCUGGAAGGCUGUGGUACAAGGCCAUUUUUGCUGGCUAUAAGCAAGGUCUCCGGAACCAAAGAGAGCACUCGGCUCUUCUUAAAAUUGAAGGUGUUUAUGCUCGAGAUGAAACGGAGUUCUACUUAGGCAAGAGAUGUGCUUAUGUGUAUAAAGCCAAACACAAUACAGCGACUCCUGGAGGCAAACCAAACGCAACCAGAGUGAUCUGGGGAAAGGUAACUCGGGCCCACGGAAACAGCGGUAUGGUUCGUGCCAAAUUCCGA